AUUGAACGCUGGCGGCAUGCUUUACACAUGCAAGUCGAACGGUAACAGGCCUUCGGGUGCUGACGAGUGGCGCACGGGUGAGUAAUGCAUCGGAACGUGCCCAGAGGUGGGGGAUAACGCAGCGAAAGCUGUGCUAAUACCGCAUGUGAUCUGAGGAUGAAAGCGGGGGACCAGGCAGCAAUGUUUGGCCUCGCGCCUUUGGAGCGGCCGAUGUCAGAUUAGGUAGUUGGGGGGGUAAAGGCCUACCAAGCCGACGAUCUGUAGCUGGUCUGAGAGGACGACAGGCCACACUGGGACUGAGACACGGCCAAGACUCCUACGGGAGGCAGCAGUGGGGAAUUUUGGACAAUGGGCGCAAGCCUGAUCCAGCAAUGCCGCGUGCGGGAAGAAGGCCUUCGGGUUGUAAACCGCUUUUGUACGGAACGAAAAGGCUCUGGCUAAUACCUGGGGCUGAUGACGGUAACGUAAGAAUAAGCACCGGCUAACUACGUG
rnacentral:rRNA from 1 species